rnacentral:rRNA from 1 species
CCCUUAGAUGUUCUGGGCUGCACGCGCGCUACACUGCUGCAAUUAACGGGUUUUCUGUGCCGAAAGUCUUGGGGAAUCCUUUGAAUAUGCGGCGUGAUGGGGAUAGAAUAUUGUAAUUAUUACUCUUCAACGAGGAAUUCCUAGUAAGCGCGAGUCAUCAGCUCGCGUUGAUUACGUCCCUGCCCUUUGUACACACCGCCCGUCGCUCCUACCGAUUGAAUGGUCCGGUGAAGCGUUCGGAUGUGUGAGGCGAGACGGUCCGCCGUCCCUCCUCGUGCAGAAGUUCGUUAAACCUUAUCAUUUAGAGGAAGGAGAAGUCGUANCA